rnacentral:rRNA from 1 species
UACGUAGGUGGCAAGCGUUUGUCCGGAUUUAUUGGGUUUAAAGGGUGCGUAGGCGGUUUUCUAAGUCAGCAGUGAAAUACGGCAGCUCAACUGUCGAGGUGCUGUUGAUACUGGGGAACUUGAGUACUGAUGAGGUAGGCGGAAUGGACGGUGUAGCGGUGAAAUGCUUAGAGAUCGUCCAGAACACCGAUAGCGAAGGCAGCUCGCUGGGACGUAACUGACGCUGAGACGCGAAAGCGUGGGGAGCAAACAGG